UGAUGAAUGUACAUCAUGCAUGGGUCUAAAU
rnacentral:piRNA from 1 species